rnacentral:lncRNA from 1 species
UAUAGAUUCCCUUAUUAGGUUUGACCCUAAUCCGGCAGAUUUAUGUCGCCCUAUAUCUAGGGGUGCAAUCAACUCCGCUUAAUUAUGCUAGAUCUACUCUUAGACAGUGACUUUUGCUCCUCUGAAUAAGCACAUCAAAACUUGAAUUAAUAUCCUGGAAUAUUAAAACAAGAAUUAAGAACACAUAAUUAAGAAUAAAUCAAGUAUUUAUCAUAUAAUUCAGAACAUAAUAACAAGAUCCGUCUUAGGUUUCAUUCCUCUUAGGUAUUUAGGGGACUUAGUUCAUAAGUGUAAAAGGAAACAUCUUAGAAGAAUAAUAAUAACAAAACAUAAAGAAAACCCAAAAACCUCUAAAGGAAAUUGAAGGGAGAUCUUUAGUCUUGAAGGAGAAUCUGGCUUCUGAGAUGGAUCAAUCGGCUUUCUUCGAGUAAUUCCUUGCCUCCUACUCCACGUGUCUCUUAGGUGCCUCAUUUGGUGUUUAUAUAGACUUUAGAAUGCUUUAAAACCCUCAAAAGUGUCCUUUUUUUAGUAGAACUAGACUUGGGCUCGACAGGGACACGCCCGUGUGAGGUGGCUUAGGCCGUGUUGCAAUCUGUUAAAUAGACAUGGGCAUGUGAACUACCCGUGUGAGGAAGUCCAGGCCGUGUUGAUUUCCCACGUUGACUCAUUUUCUCCAUUUUUGGCCCGUUUCUCGCUCUUUUUACUCUCCUAUGCUCACCUAAGUAUAAAACAUGAAAUUAAAGGAUUAGGAGCAUCGAAGUCCACAAAUCUAAUGAUAAUUCAUCCUAAAAUAUGCUAAGCAUGGGAUAAAAAUAUGUAUAAAUUACGACUUAUCAAAUACCCCACACUUAAGCGUUUGCUUGUCCUCAAGCAAAAUCCUCAACUCACAAUCAAAAUAAAUUCUUCUCAACUUAUAAUUCUCAUCAAUAGUAUCUCAAAAUAAUCCAUAAGUAAUCAUACAUUGAAAAUUCAACCCGAAGAACAUCAAAGUUUCAAACAUUCCAUGUUGAGCAUUUUAUCACGAAAACAUAAGUGUCUCCCAUCAUCUAAAUAAUCACCUUUGAUUCAAAAUAUCACAUAGUUUCACAUCCUCAC